CGGCACGGUUGUUACACCUAUCUGAUUCCCUCAUCACUUCUUAUUUAUCUGCUUCUUUCAGUGGUCCCUGCAAAUGAUCAACAGAUGGUGCUGAUUAAAGUAGAACCUUCAGAAGAAUGGAUACCUGGUGUGGACCAGCCCGACCCAGAACCCCUCAACUUA